rnacentral:rRNA from 1 species
CCCUUAGAUGUUCUGGGCCGCACGCGCGCUACACUGAUGCGUUCAACGAGUAUACAACCUUGAUCGAUAGGUCUGGGUAAUCUUUUGAAUGCGCAUCGUGCUAGGGAUAGACUGUUGCAAUUUUCAGUCUUGAACGAGGAAUUCCUAGUAAACGCAAGUCAUCAGCUUGUAUUGAUUACGUCCCUGCCCUUUGUACACACCGCCCGUCGCACCUACCGAUUGAAUGGUCCGGUGAAAUCUCGGGACGGCGGCUUGGUCGCUUGCGUCCGACUGCUGAAACUUGAUUAAACCAUAUCAUUUAGAGGAAGGUGAAGUCGUAACA